UACGUAGGGUGCAAGCGUUAAUCGGAAUUACUGGGCGUAAAGCGUGCGCAGGCGGUUGUGUAAGACAGAUGUGAAAUCCCCAGGCUCAACCUGGGAACUGCGUCUGAUACUGGAUGGCUUGAAUCCGGGAGAGGGAUGCAGAAUUCCAGGUGUAGCGGUGAAAUGCGUAGAUAUCUGGAGGAAUACCGGUGGCGAAGGCGGCAUCCUGGACCGGCAUUGACGCUGAGGAGCGAAAGCUAGGGGAGCAAACGGG
rnacentral:rRNA from 1 species